rnacentral:tRNA from 1 species
GCCUGGGUAGCUCAGUCGGUUAAGCAUCUGACUUUGGUUCAGGUCAUGAUCUCACGGUUCAUGAGUUCAAGCCCCACCUCAGGCU